GCGCGAUUAGCUCAGCGGGAGAGCGCUACCUUGACACGGUAGAGGUCACUGGUUCGAUCCCAGUAUCGCGCACCA
rnacentral:tRNA from 29 species